rnacentral:tRNA from 1 species
GGGGGAAUAGUUCAAUGGUAGAACACUGGUCUCCAAAACCAGGGAUGAGGGUUCGAUUCCUUCUUCCCCUG